AUCUGGACCAUACGUUUUCAAAUCUCGCCAUGUGUACGCACACGUGGCCAAACGACCUAGCCCACCCUGACACCUCAUCUGUCGAGGUGUCUCACAUUUUUAAAAUUACAUUUUAGCCCUAUUUUUGGUAUUUAUUAUCAUUUAGGUCCUUAUUAUUCAUAAAAUGUUAACAAAAUUUAAUUUUUCUUUAUUUAAACCUCUAAAAUUUUAAUUCAUAUAAUUUUA
rnacentral:lncRNA from 1 species